UACAGAGGUCUCAAGCGUUGUUCGGAUUCAUUGGGCGUAAAGGGUGCGUAGGCGGCGCGGUAAGUCGGGUGUGGAAAUCUCGGGGCUUAACUCCGAAACUGCAUUCGAUACUGCCGUGCUUGAGGACUGGAGAGGAGACUGGAAUUUACGGUGUAGCGGUGAAAUGCGUAGAUAUCGUAAGGAAGACCAGUGGCGAAGGCGGGUCUCGUGGACAGUUCCUGACGCUGAGGCACGAAGGCCAGGGGAGCAAACGGG
rnacentral:rRNA from 1 species